rnacentral:rRNA from 1 species
UACGGGGGGGGCAAGCGUUGUUCGGAAUUACUGGGUGUAAAGGGCUCGUAGGCGGCCAACUAAGUCAGACGUGAAAUCCCUCGGCUUAACCGGGGAACUGCGUCUGAUACUGGAUGGCUUGAGAUUGGGAGAGGGAUGCGGAAUUCCAGGUGUAGCGGUGAAAUGCGUAGAUAUCUGGAGGAACACCGAUGGCGAAGGCAGGUCUCUGGGCCACUACUGACGCUGAGAAGCGAAAGCAUGGGGAGCGAACAGG